rnacentral:lncRNA from 1 species
UAAGGGUUACUUCAAAGAAAACAGGCCUUCAUACUUCAGCAAUGAACAGCAAACCAGACCUAAUGAAAAGACGAAAAGAUGCACAUAAUAUUGUUCAAAUACACAUAGUGACCACCAAGAACUGGACAUCAUAGAGCCAGACAAAAAGAACCAGCUAAAUGCAGAUAGCAGAACAGCACAACAAUAAAAAUCAACCAAGGAUUUAGCAACAUAACAAGGUUAAUUUUUUUUCAAAUACCCAUUAUUAGAAACAAAAAAACCCUAUCAAAAAUCAACAAAAAAAGUCACUACAUAAACUCAAUGAAGACCCAAAUAAUCAAAACAACAAAAACAUAAUCUAGACCUAAAUAGAUAUCUUCAAAGAAUACCCAAAAACAAGAAUCAAAAGGGAAUUUCUAAAUUUUUUUUUAUGAAACUAAUGAAGUCCAUUCAAAGGUGAAACAACACCUAAAAUUAAAAUUCAAGGAAUUUCCCCAGUUAUCACUUCCAAGUGACAAUUUUGGAAGAAGCCUAGACAAAACCCUAACCUCCAAGUGACAAAAUCUUCAAUUUGUGAGCUGCAAUCUAAGAGGGAUUUACGAGCCAAUAUUAGGGAUUUAAGAGAGGGGUUUGUGAUAUGUUUGAAAGAAUUCAGAGAGGGUGACAACUAGGGUACCCAUGGAAAAAUGGUGGGUAAUUUACCCCAACCAAUAAACAUUCACCUUUUUAGGUGGUAUCC